UUUUCAAUAAAGUUAAACACACCCUCAUUAUGAAAGCUCCCUUGUUGUCUAAUGUUAGUCUAAGCAAAAUGGAUGUGAAAAGAAAGCCGAAUUGGACUGUGGAAAAAACGGUGAUGUUGGUAGAGGAGGUGGAGGCAAAGAAGGAAAUAAUUAAGGGAAAAUUAAGCCCCACACUUACAAGUCGACACAAAAAAGAAGUUUGGAAGCAGAUCGCAGACAGCAUUAAUGCGAGCUUCUCCUCCACCAUUCGGAGGAAUGCAAAAAGAAAUGGCACAAUGUUUUGUCAAAAGCGCAUCAGGAAAUCUCCACUUUCAAGAAGGCAACAUCUGGCACUGGUGGAGGUCCUGCUGCACUACUCAAACUGCAGACCGUAGUAAGUAAUGCAGAUGAAAACACCAUCUCGUCCCCUCAUGAGCUGCCUGUAGAGGAACUCCCAGCUGCAACAGCACUGCUUCCAGGCCCAUCUGGCAUUCCCUCUCCAGCAGCAGGCCCAGAGCCCCUGCUCCCUGAGCCCCCACUGGCCACUGCCACUCCACGGCUCAAGCCGGACGAGGUGGAGGACAUGGAUGCACUGCAGAGAGAAGAGCUGCGGUUGAGCAUAAAAGUUUUAAGGCUGAAGGAGCA